GAUCGUGGCUCAGGGUGAACGCUAGCGAUAGGCUUAACACAUGCAAGUCGAGGGGCAGCGAGGGAGUGGCAACACUUCUGUCGGCGACCGGCGCACGGGUGAGUAACGCGUAUGCAACCUGCCCUUCACAGGGGGAUAACCGGGAGAAAUUCCGACUAAUACCGCAUACGUCCUUUGGGGGCAUCCCCGGGGGAUGAAAGAAUUAUCGGUGAAGGAUGGGCAUGCGUGAUAUUAGGUAGUUGGCGGGGCAACGG
rnacentral:rRNA from 1 species